AAUGUCUAGUUUGUAUUCCUCAUUUUUCCUAAUUUUGUCGCGAAAUCAGCUGUGAAAAUAUUUAGGGCCCGAACUAUCUUUUUCACCUGAAAUCGAUUUUUUCAAAAACUAUAUUGAUGAAUACCUUCUUAUUUGGUAAUAAAUACACUGUUAGAAAGCCUCCUCCAAGAAGAUCUAAGAUAUUGUCCCAACAUGCAGAUAUUUAUAACAAGUAUUUAAAUUCAGAAACUCUCCCAGAAAAUGAUUUCAAAAUUAAAUUGGGAAAUAAAGAAUUCAUGUUGAGCAAUCAUAAAUGGAAGAUUAAUAAUUUAGAGAAUAAUAAAGAGGAAGAUGAAAAUGUCGAAGCUAUGAAUUUAAAAAUUAAAAACGAAAUUUUAUUAAAUAUGCUAACCCAAUUAUCUGCAGAAUUUCAAUUUAUUGAACAGGAAAUUAAAAAAAACUCCAAAAAUAUUUAAAAUGUCAAAUUAACUUGAAUGAUAUUCAAAUAGAUUUUCCAUAUAUAUAAAUGUUAAAUUUUUGAAUGCUAGUAAUUUUUUAAAAUUAACUAUUCUUUUUUUUAAAUAUUUCUAUUAACAAUAACCUCUAUAAAAUUCUGAGAAAUCACUUAUUCAGUAUUAUUGAACAAGA